GAUGAAGAACGUAGCGAAAUGCGAUAAGUAAUGUGAAUUGCAGAAUUCAGUGAAUCAUCGAGUCUUUGAACGCACAUUGCGCCCCCUGGUAUUCCGGGGGGCAUGCCUGUCCGAGCGUCAUUGCUGCCCUCAAGCACGGCUUGUGUGUUGGGCCGUCGUCCCCCUCCUAGGGGACGGGCCCGAAAGGCAGCGGCGGCACCGCGUCCGGUCCUCGAGCGUAUGGGGCUUCGUCACCCGCUCCGUAGGCCCGGCCGGCGCUUGCCGACGACCAUCAAUCUCUUUCUCCAGGUUGACCUCGGAUCAGGUAGGGAUACCCGCUGAACUUAAGCAUAUCAAUAAGCGGAGGA
rnacentral:misc_RNA from 1 species